AACGCUGGCGGCGUGCCUAAUACAUGCAAGUCGAGCGAAUCGAUGGGAGCUUGCUCCCUGAGAUUAGCGGCGGACGGGUGAGUAACACGUGGGCAACCUGCCUAUAAGACUGGGAUAACUUCGGGAAACCGGAGCUAAUACCGGAUACGUUCUUUUCUCGCAUGAGAGAAGAUGGAAAGACGGUUUUGCUGUCACUUAUAGAUGGGCCCGCGGCGCAUUAGCUAGUUGGUGAGGUAAUGGCUCACCAAGGCGACGAUGCGUAGCCGACCUGAGAGGGUGAUCGGCCACACUGGGACUGAGACACGGCCCAGACUCCUACGGGAGGCAGCAGUAGGGAAUCUUNCGCAAUGGACGAAAGUCUGACGGAGCAACGCCGCGUGAACGAAGAAGGCCUUCGGGUCGUAAAGUUCUGUCGUUAGGGAAGAACAAGUACCAGAGUAACUGCUGGUACCUUGACNGUACCUAACCAGAAAGCCACGGCUAACUACGUGCCAKCAGCCGCGGUAAUACGUANGUGGCAAGCGUUGACCGGAAUUAUUGGGCGUAAAGCGCGCGCAGGNGGUUCCUUAAGUCUGAUGUGAAAGCCCACGG
rnacentral:rRNA from 1 species